UAAAAAAGUGUCUAAAUUCUAAAAAAGGAACACAUUGUGCCCUCGCAUCACACCAGAAAAUCAUCAAGCUCAAAGCUCGGGUCAUCAGGUGUGUUAUUAUAUUGGGAACCCGCUAAUUUCCUUACAAAAAUUUACUAUUUGUUCACCCGUCAGAAAUACGUCAGAGAAAAACCUGCGUCAUUGCACCAUCAAACCAAAAAUAUUCAUAGUUGGAACUGAUAGCCGGUGCAUUUUUUUCAUAGGUCGAAAAUUUGACGUUUUGCAGAGAAAGGUGAAAAUCACAAAAAGGGGCUGCUAACUAUCCAAAAUUUGGACUGAAGUCUCAGUUUGAACCAAUUCCAGCCAAAGUCACCUACUCACCUUUGUGAUAUUUUCCCGGCUGAGCGACUCAGGAAAAAAGAACGUCAGAAUUCAACGGAUCCAUAAUAAAUUUUGACAUGUCAAGCUACUCAAUCAUCGAAAGUCAAUUAUCUUUUACUUCAUCAAAAAUCAAUUCGUCACGCAGCUCCCAAAAAAUGAACUCCGAUUACUCUCAACGCAUUUCUAAACUUCCCAAAAAUUCCAAAACAUUUGCAAAUUUCAAUAAAACAUCAAUUUUGACUAUCAUUUCGACUGUUGCUCUAUGCACGAUAGUUGCGACGCCGGUUUCCGCGUUUCCGAGGCCAGAAGGCAAUUCGCGGAUAGACGAAGUUGAGAAAAUGCGAAUGUUUUUCGAUCAAUUUCUAUCGAAUUCAAAUUCGAAAACGUUCGGAAGAGAAAAUCUGUCUUCUCAUAACAUCGGUGGCGGACAUUUGGAGGCUCCCAAUUUCUCAUUCGAAGAAGCCAACAGCAACUUGGAUGACACCAGCCUAGCUAAUAUGUAUGAAGAUCUCAACCACAAUAUCAACAUGAAACGCGGCGGCAAAAGAGCUUAUUAUGAUUGCGUUCACGCCUACAAACUACCCUGUUGAGGCCAUGAGAUCAUCGCCAACGACAAAGCUGCAAAAACUUCUUCACGGAGACGAUAAGAUUAACAAUAAGUACUUGAUAGAGAUUUGCAUUAACCGCCAGCAAUUAACAUUUGCAUCAUUAUCUUGGAUUUGAUUAAUAAUGAAUGAAAAGAGUAUUGAUUACUGAUGCUGCGAUUUAAAAGCUAAUUAAACUUUUGAGCAAA